rnacentral:rRNA from 1 species
GACGAACGCUGGCGGCGUGCUUAACACAUGCAAGUCGAACGAUGAACCCGGAGCUUGCUCUGGGGGAUUAGUGGCGAACGGGUGAGUAACACGUGAGUAACCUGCCCUGGACUCUGGGAUAAGCGUUGGAAACGACGUCUAAUACCGGAUAGGACCUUGGAUCGCAUGAUCUGGGGUGGAAAGUUUUUUCGGUCUGGGAUGGACUCGCGGCCUAUCAGCUUGUUGGUGAGGUAAUGGCUCACCAAGGCGUCGACGGGUAGCCGGCCUGAGAGGGUGACCAGCCACACUGGGACUGAGACACGGCCCAGACUCCUACGGGAGGCAGCAGUGGGGAAUAUUGCACAAUGGGCGAAAGCCUGAUGCAGCAACGCCGCGUGCGGGAUGACGGCCUUCGGGUUGUAAACCGCUUUUAGUAGGGAAGAAGGGCUUCGGCUUGACGGUACCUGCAGAAAAAGGACCGGCUAACUACGUG